UACGGAGGAUCCAAGCGUUAUCCGGAUUCAUUGGGUUUAAAGGGUGCGUAGGCGGAAUAGUAAGUCAGUGGUGAAAGCCUGCAGCUUAACUGUAGAAUUGCCAUUGAUACUGCUAAUCUUGAGUUUAGAUGAAGUGGGCGGAAUGUGUCAUGUAGCGGUGAAAUGCUUAGAUAUGACACAGAACACCGAUUGCGAAGGCAGCUCACUAAACUAAAACUGACGCUGAGGCA
rnacentral:rRNA from 1 species